rnacentral:rRNA from 1 species
GACAGAGGGGGCAAGCGUUGCUCGGAAUCACUGGGCGUAAAGGGCGCGUAGGCGGGAUGGCAAGUCGGUCGUGAAAUCCUUCGGCUCAACCGAAGAACGUCGGCCGAUACUGCCGUUCUUGAGGGAUGCAGGAGGAGUAGUGAAUUCCCGGUGUAGCGGUGAAAUGUGUAGAGAUCGGGAGGAACACCGGUGGCGAAGGCGGGUCUCUGGGCAUCUCCUGACGCUGAGGCGGACGAAAGCGGA